rnacentral:tRNA from 1 species
GCAUUCGUCGUGUACUGGAAGCACGUCUGGCUGUAAUCGAGAAGAUCGAAGUUCGAAUCCUGGCGAAGGCA